rnacentral:rRNA from 1 species
GACGAACGCUGGCGGCGUGCUUAACACAUGCAAGUCGAACGGUGAAGCGCCUUCCUUUUUGGUGGGUGUGGAUGAGUGGCGAACGGGUGAGUAACACGUGAGUAACCUGCCCCCUUCUUCUGGAUAACCGCAUGAAAGUGUGGCUAAUACGGGAUAUUCUGGGUCUGUCGCAUGAUGGGUCUGGGAAAGAUAUUGUUUCGGUGGGGGAUGGGCUCGCGGCCUAUCAGCUUGUUGGUGGGGUGAUGGCCUACCAAGGCGGUGACGGGUAGCCGGCCUGAGAGGGUGGACGGUCACACGGGGACUGAGACACGGCCCAGACUCCUACGGGAGGCAGCAGUGGGGAAUAUUGCACAAUGGGCGCAAGCCUGAUGCAGCGACGCCGCGUGAGGGAUGGAGGCCUGCGGGUUGUGAACCUCUUUCGCCAGUGAAGCAGGCCUGCCUCGUUUGUGGGUGGGUUGACGGUAGCUGGAUAAGAAGCGCCGGCUAACUACGUG